AACAAAUCUAACAAUGAUGAAAAACACAACUUUUCUAGCUUAUUAUAAAGGUACCAAGACUUUUAGUUAUAUGUUCUUAUCUUUGUAGUGCAUAGAUGCUGAAUGCUUUUGUGUAUACAAUGUCAAAUGGACUAUCCUUAGGAAAAAGUCAAAUUUAGCCAUACAUUCUGACUUCUAAACAUGAUGCCACCUCCACUAGAAGUUAUUGAGCCUUGAGCAACAUUGUUCCUGAUGAGCAGACUGGGGAUAGGAAUGAGCAAGGCCUUUCAGCCAGUGAGUGAAGGAGCCACGCACAUUGAGAAGGUUCCAUAAAGUGAACCCUCUAGAGAUCUGCACCCCUAGACAUCCACUCUCCUGGUUGUGUAUCAUCAUGCUGUUAUACAGAGAGAAAUCUGAUCUAUUGAAGAUGCCAUGGACACCAUCUGUUGCUCUUAUAGUUACUUCUAACUACUACACUAACAUUUCUUGUCCAUAAUAUAAGGUUUAAGUGCUUUUAGGAGAUUGUACAAAAGAACUUGGAAGACUCCCCUGCUAUCCUUUUACUUGUUGCUUAAGAUGAAAAGAAACCUGCAGUGUAGCAUUUUCUAAGACCAUCCUUAACUUAGUUUCUGGACUUCACAGUCUAGAUAUCGUAACAUCACUUCAAAUCACUAUUUUAUCUGCAAACCUUGACUUAAAUACAAGUGUUUGAAAUAUCUCUAAAGAACACUGCAUGCAAAAGGAUAUUUUGCAAGCUGUGAUCAUUUCAUGACCUGUAAAUAUAUUUUUGUGAGGAAGCUUCUUGAGCAUAUGUUCCACUUCCUCAGACACCAGAAAACUUCAUUCUUUACAUCUUUCCAUGAACAACACAUUGAUUUAGAGAAUCAAGAAUAUUUAUUAUAUCUAUUAGUGUACAGACAUCUUCUGAUACAAAGUAAGUAUUAAAAUAAUAAGAAAGAAAUAAAAAGAUGAGAAAAUGGAAACAAAAUGGAGAAAUAGAUGAAUGAAUGAUUGGCAGAUACUCCUCAGCAAUGUGUCUGUGCUCAAGAGUUUUUGCUAUUUCUUGUAUUUCUAGGUUGUUCCUAUUAAAUGACAUGUUUGAUCCUUUUCAGUAAAGUUAUUUAUUUCCAUGAUUAUAAUCAUUGAUGUGAAUUCCAUGUAAAGGUAGC
rnacentral:lncRNA from 1 species